UGCAAGUCGAGCGGAACGAUGGAAGCUUGCUUCCAGGCGUCGAGCGGCGGACGGGUGAGUAAUGCAUAGGAAUCUGCCCGGUAGUGGGGGAUAACCUGGGGAAACCCAGGCUAAUACCGCAUACGUCCUACGGGAGAAAGCAGGGGAUCUUCGGACCUUGCGCUAUCGGAUGAGCCUAUGUCGGAUUAGCUAGUUGGUGAGGUAAUGGCUCACCAAGGCCGCGAUCCGUAGCUGGUCUGAGAGGAUGAUCAGCCACAUCGGGACUGAGACACGGCCCGAACUCCUACGGGAGGCAGCAGUGGGGAAUAUUGGACAAUGGGCGAAAGCCUGAUCCAGCCAUGCCGCGUGUGUGAAGAAGGCUUUCGGGUUGUAAAGCACUUUCAGUGGGGAAGAAAUCCUCGGGGCCAAUACCCUCGAGGGAGGACAUCACCCACAGAAGAAGCACCGGCUAACUCCGUGCCAGCAGCCGCGGUAAUACGGAGGGUGCGAGCGUUAAUCGGAAUUACUGGGCGUAAAGCGCGCGUAGGCGGCGUGAUAAGCCGGUUGUGAAAGCCCCGGGCUCAACCUGGGAACGGCAUCCGGAACUGUCAGGCUAGAGUGCAGGAGAGGAAGGUAGAAUUCCCGGUGUAGCGGUGAAAUGCGUAGAGAUCGGGAGGAAUACCAGUGGCGAAGGCGGCCUUCUGGACUGACACUGACGCUGAGGUGCGAAAGCGUGGGUAGCAAACAGGAUUAGAUACCCUGGUAGUCCACGCCGUAAACGAUGUCGACUAGCCGUUGGGGUCCUUGUGACCUUUGUGGCGCAGUUAACGCGAUAAGUCGACCGCCUGGGGAGUACGGCCGCAAGGUUAAAACUCAAAUGAUUGACGGGGGCCCGC
rnacentral:rRNA from 1 species